UACGGAGGGCGCGAGCGCUAAUCGGACUUACUGGGCGUAAAGGGUGCGUAGGUGGUUGAUUAAGUUAUCUGUGAAAUUCCUGGGCUUAACCUGGGACGGUCAGAUAAUCCUGGUUGACUCGAGUAUGGGAGAGGGUAGUGGAAUUUCCGGUGUAGCGGUGAAAUGCGUAGAGAUCGGAAGGAAGACCAGUGGCGAAGGCGGCUACCUGGCCGAAUACUGACACUGAGGCACGAAAGCGUGGGGAGCAUACAGG
rnacentral:rRNA from 1 species